rnacentral:rRNA from 1 species
UACGAAGGGGGCUAGCGUUACUCGGAAUGACUGGGCGUAAAGGGCGCGUAGGCGGUUUGCUUAGUUAGGCGUGAAAUUCCUGGGCUCAACCUGGGGGCUGCGCUUAAUACAGGCAGACUAGAGUGUGAAAGAGGGUCGUGGAAUUUCCAGUGUAGAGGUGAAAUUCGUAGAUAUUGGAAAGAACACCGGUGGCGAAGGCGGCGACCUGGUUCAUUACUGACGCUGAGGCGCGAAAGCGUGGGGAGCAAACGGG